rnacentral:rRNA from 1 species
GAUGAACGCUGGCGGCGUGCCUAAUACAUGCAAGUAGAACGCUGAAGCUUGGUGCUUGCACCGAGCGGAUGAGUUGCGAACGGGUGAGUAACGCGUAGGUAACCUGCCUGGUAGCGGGGGAUAACUAUUGGAAACGAUAGCUAAUACCGCAUAACAGUAGAUAUUGCAUGAUAUCUGCUUGAAAGGUGCAAUUGCAUCACUACCAGAUGGACCUGCGUUGUAUUAGCUAGUUGGUGAGGUAACGGCUCACCAAGGCGACGAUACAUAGCCGACCUGAGAGGGUGAUCGGCCACACUGGGACUGAGACACGGCCCAGACUCCUACGGGAGCAGCAGUAGGGAAUCUUCGGCAAUGGGGGGAACCCUGACCGAGCAACGCCGCGUGAGUGAAGAAGGUUUUUUCGGAUCGUAAAGCUCUGUGUAAGAGAAGAACGAGUGUGAGAGUGGAAAGUUCAC